rnacentral:rRNA from 1 species
AGUGAACGCUGGCGGUAGGCCUAACACAUGCAAGUCGAACGGCAGCACAGGAGAGCUUGCUCUCUGGGUGGCGAGUGGCGGACGGGUGAGGAAUACAUCGGAAUCUACUUUUUCGUGGGGGAUAACGUAGGGAAACUUACGCCAAUACCGCAUACGACCUACGGGUGAAAGCAGGGGACAUUCGGACCUUGCGCGAUUGAAUGAGCCGAUGUCGGAGUAGCUAGUUGGCGGGGUAAAGGCCCACCAAGGCGCCGAUCCGUAGCUGGUUUGGGAGGAUGAUCAGCCACACUGGAACUGAGACACGGUCCAGACUCCUACGGGAGGCAGCAGUGGGGAAUAUUGGACAAUGGGCGCAAGCCUGAUCCAGCCAUACCGCGUGGGUGAAGAAGGCCUUCGGGUUGUAAAGCCCUUUUGUUGGGAAAGAAAUCCAGCUGGUUAAUACCCGGUUGGGAUGACGGUACCCAAAGAAUAAGCACCGGCUAACUUCGUGCCAGCCGCCGCCGUAA